AUUGAACGCUGGCGGCAGGCUUAACACAUGCAAGUCGAGCGGGGGAAGGUAGCUUGCUACCGGACCUAGCGGCGGACGGGUGAGUAAUGCUUAGGAAUCUGCCUAUUAGUGGGGGACAACAUCUCGAAAGGGAUGCUAAUACCGCAUACGUCCUACGGGAGAAAGCAGGGGAUCUUUAUGACCUUGCGCUAAUAGAUGAGCCUAAGUCGGAUUAGCUAGUUGGUGGGGUAAAGGCCUACCAAGGCGACGAUCUGUAGCGGGUCUGAGAGGAUGAUCCGCCACACUGGGACUGAGACACGGCCCAGACUCCUACGGGAGGCAGCAGUGGGGAAUAUUGGACAAUGGGGGGAACCCUGAUCCAGCCAUGCCGCGUGUGUGAAGAAGGCCUUAUGGUUGUAAAGCACUUUAAGCGAGGAGGAGGCUCUUUUGGUUAAUACCCAAGAUGAGUGGACGUUACUCGCAGAAUAAGCACCGGCUAACUCUGUGCCAGCAGCCGCAGUAA
rnacentral:rRNA from 1 species